rnacentral:rRNA from 1 species
UACGUAGGGUCCGAGCGUUGUCCGGAUUUAUUGGGCGUAAAGAGCUCGUAGGCGGCUUGCUAAGUCAGGUGUGAAACCUCCAGGCUCAACCUGGAGCCGCCACCUGAUACUGGUAUGGCUAGAGUCCGGUAGGGGACCACGGAAUUCCUGGUGUAGCGGUGAAAUGCGCAGAUAUCAGGAGGAACACCGGUGGCGAAGGCGGAUCUCUGGGCCAUUACUGACGCUGAGAAGCGAAAGCAUGGGGAGCGAACAGG